CUCCUGUAUGCCACUAAGAAAGAUAAGGUAUUAAAUAGCCAGUAAAUUCUGCUAUACAAAAAGUGAUUUCCAUGAAAAUUGAGAAGAGGAAACCCAGGGAAUACUUAGGAAGAAAUUAUAGCACGGGAGAGCAAAUUUAUAACCAAACCAGGUGACUCGAACUCGGACAGUACUCUUGAAUAAAAAAGGAUAAAUGAAGUCACUGAGGCUAAAUGAUCCCUUUUUGGAGACUGGUUUGUGCUGCCUGCAAACUGUGUUUGAAUGCCUUACCAGCAGCUUCUGUUUCCUUUUUUCUUGGCAGGAUGAGAUGACUGUCCGUGCGAUGGAGCUCUAGCACCUUAGCAUGCCUGCUCUUUGCUGACUCCAUGAGGAAGAGUUCUGAGAGUCCUCUCGUGUUCCUUUUGCAACCUUUCACAACAAUGACCAAUUCCAGCAGGUCUGAUGAGAAACAUUUGUGGCUCUGAUACCCAUUCCCUGUCACUCAAGGCAAGAAGAUACUACACAAGUGAUCCAGUGCGGUCCUCCAGAACACGUAGAAGAAUUGCAUUGAAACAGUCACUUGUUUAGCUUAAGCCGCCUAUAGACAAAACACCAGGCUGUAGUAACGACACUCGAAGAGGUAAGAAGGCUCUAUCUGUGCUUUGAAGAACCUGAAUAGAUGUCAGUGCUUCUCUGACACCCAUUAACUUGGGAUUCCUCCUCGCUGCUUUUAACAUACCUUCUGGGGCUAUCUGCUCUUACCAACGAUUAUGUUCGGUACUUUAAAAGGGUUGAACCUCUUCAGAAAUAAUGCUGAAAUCUUAACCUCUAGUGUCCCAGCAUUUCUAGAUCUUUCAUAUGAAAAAUACAGUAAUGUAGUAAAGGCUGCAUGAGAAAACAUGAGAAAGGAAUUAGUUAUCCAGACAUU